rnacentral:rRNA from 1 species
UACGUAGGGUGCAAGCGUUAAUCGGAAUUACUGGGCGUAAAGGGCGCGUAGGCGGCCCAUCAAGUCGGAUGUGAAAGCCCAGGGCUCAACCUUGGAAGUGCAUCCGAAACUGAUGAGCUAGAGUUCACGGAGAGGGUGGUGGAAUUCCCAGUGUAGAGGUGAAAUUCGUAGAUAUUCGGAAGAACACCAGUGGCGAAGGCGGCUGACUGGACAUGUAUUGACGCUGAGGUGCGAAAGCGUGGGGAGCAAACAGG